rnacentral:lncRNA from 1 species
AAUAGUUCAUCUCUAGUUAUAAAGAAACUAACAAAGGCAGGGAUGACAAAAAGAAGACUGAAGGAGCUGUGUUAUAAUUGCGAUGAGCCGUUUGUUUCAGAUCACCUAUGUAAACGUCUAUUUUGACUCGAGAUUGAAUGUGAUAUUGGAUAAUAAGAAAAAACCAAUGAAACAGCUACAUCCACAUUCCAAGCUUGAGGACAAAUUUGAAAACCAGGGGGGAACAAUGUUAUGGAUGCAAAUAUGGAAGAUGUAAUAAGAAUAAGAAAUUGGCGUUCAAUUAAAUAGUUAGAAUCUUAAUUAGUAUUAGAUCUCUAAAUAGUGUAGGUUUUCUUAUAUUUUAGUAGAGUAUUCUUAAUUAGAUUUAGAUUCUAAAUUAUAUUAAUAUUUUUAAAUAAAAAUUGUAAAUUACAUAUAAAGGGGAAUGCUUGUUAUUAAUAAAAUAAGUAAGAAUAUUAUUUUAAAAUACGAGAUUGAAGUUCUCUCUAAUGAGGUUCAAGGUAGCAAUUCUAUUUGAUGAGUUAUAAUCUAUUUUCAUAAAAUAUGCCGCUCAAGAAAUCGUAACAAGGAGAAGAAGCAGACUAUGGAAUCAGAAAUUUCAGUUAACCACCCAGUAACAAGAUCUUGGUCUUGGGAACAUAAUAGGGUAGAAGAGGGAAUUAAGGAAAUAACAACAAAAAUUAACAAGGGCAAAAAGGGGUAAUUGUAUGGGAAGCAACAAGAUUCAUUAAGAUAGUAGUUGGAAUAUUAAAGGGUUGAGUUGCGGGAUCAAGUGAAAGAAAAUCUAGAAAGUUGUUAAUAGGUGCGUCUUGAUAUUAAAAAAAAAAGGGUGUUUCUUGAUAUAUUACUGUUAUAGGGAACGGAAAACAUGCAUGUCGAUAGGAUGAUCGUUGCUAGUAUUUGGGAUUUAAGUUUUGAAGAUUGGCUAGUUGCUCUAUCAUCAGGUACUUCUGUUGGCAUGCUCAUGACAUUGGGAUAACAGGGUUACUGGUAGAGUGGAUGUAAUUGAAGGAUCUUUCUUGUUGUCCGUGUUACUUGAUGUGAAAGGGAAAGGAUCCUGAUGGGAGAAAUUUUCCUACCUUUCAAGGUUGUGUAAUCUUUGUUAGUGUAUCAAGGUUGAUAUUAACGCUUGCAGAUUUGCCCCCAAAAAGUUAGGAGGUGGCAAAGAAACAAGGACUAAUAGAGGUUUUAAUGCAUUUAUACAUGAUUAUGAGUUACGAGAGUUACCAUUAAAUAAUGCUCAAUUCACGUGGACUAUGAGAGGGUUUAAUGUAUUUCCUUAAGGCAUCUAGAGGUCUUAGAAAUACCCUUCUCCCC